GACAGAGGAGCCAAGCGUUGUCCGGAUUGACUGGGCGUAAAGCGCACGCAGGCGGCACGGCGCGUGGGGUGUGAAAGCUGGCGGCUUAACUGCCAGUCGGCAUCCCAUACGGCCAUUCUGGAGCCUUGCAGAGGGCAGUGGAAUUGCCGGUGUAGUGGUGAAAUGCGUAGAGAUCGGCAGGAACACCCAGGGGGAAGCCAGCUGCCUGGGCAAGCGCUGACGCUGAGGUGCGAGAGCGUGGGGAGCGAACCGG
rnacentral:rRNA from 1 species